GAUGAACGCUGGCGGCGUGCCUAAUACAUGCAAGUCGAGCGAACGGACGAGAAGCUUGCUUCUCUGAUGUUAGCGGCGGACGGGUGAGUAACACGUGGAUAACCUACCUAUAAGACUGGGAUAACUUCGGGAAACCGGAGCUAAUACCGGAUAAUAUUUUGAACCGCAUGGUUCAAAAGUGAAAGACGGUCUUGCUGUCACUUAUAGAUGGAUCCGCGCUGCAUUAGCUAGUUGGUAAGGUAACGGCUUACCAAGGCAACGAUGCAUAGCCGACCUGAGAGGGUGAUCGGCCACACUGGAACUGAGACACGGUCCAGACUCCUACGGGAGGCAGCAGUAGGGAAUCCUCCGCAAUGGGCGAAAGCCUGACGGAGCAACGCCGCGUGAGUGAUGAAGGUCUUCGGAUCGUAAAACUCUGUUAUUAGGGAAGAACAUAUGUGUAAGUAACUGCGCACAUCUUGACGGUACCUAAUCAGAAAGCCACGGCUAACUACGUG
rnacentral:rRNA from 1 species